GGGAGAUUGAGGUGUACGGUGUGGUAGUAUGAAGCAUUGGGAGAUUGAGGUGUACGGUGUGGUAGUAUGAAGCAUUGGGAGAUUGAGGUGUAUGGUGUGGUAGUAUGAAGCAUUGGGAGAUUGAGGUGUAUGGUGUGGUAGUAUGAAGCAUUGGGAGAUUGAGGUGUAUGAUGUGGUAGUAUGAAGCAUUGGGAGAUUGAGGUGUAUGGUGUGGUAGUAUGAAGCAUUGGGAGAUUGAGGUG